rnacentral:lncRNA from 1 species
AUUAAUUCAUUUUUUAUUAUUGUUUAAUUAAAAAAAAUUAAUUUUCCGGGGCCCUAAAUUAUCGGGGGCCCCAAGCUAGUGCCUAGUUGUGCCUAUUGGGUAAUCCACCACUGCUUCCAUGCAUUACUAAUGCUGGCUGGAUCUGCUCUAUUGGUGGGCCUCGGUGUGCAUCGUCUGUUGUUAAAUAUCAUAACGGUUUCUGCUGCUCUGCUUCUUCUGGGAUCUUCUUUGAGCAACAGUCUUGCUUUUUCCCGACUUACUGACAGGUCUGGGCUCUUGGCUUUCUGGGCCGGGGCCGUUGAGGCGAUGGAGUUCUGGAUGUCCUUUUUGUGUUCAUUUUGUACCUUUUGUUGUAC